AAAACAUGUCUGUACGUUUAUAUGUAAAGUCUGGCCUGCCCACUGAUAUUUAAAGGGCCGCGGUAAUUUGACCGUGCGAAGGUAGCAUAAUAAUUAGUCUCUUAAUUGGAGGCUGGAAUGAAUGGUCUGAUGAGGGGUGUACUGUCUUCUUUUUUGGCUGAAUUUAUCUUUUAAGUGAAAAGACUUAAAUUAAUUAAAGGGACGAUAAGACCCUAUAAAACUUUAUACACUAAUUCUAUCAUAGGUGAAUUAUUUGUAAAGCAGUUUUGGAAGCGGUGUAUUGCGUUGGGGAGAUGAUAAUAAAAACCUAACUGUUAAUAAAAUUAAAUAAUUAUAAUUAGUUCUUGAUCCUUUAUUAGAGAUUAUAAGAUCAAGUUACUUUAGGGAUAACAGCGUAAUUUUCUUUGAGAGUUCUUAUCGACAGGAUUAGUUGCGACCUCGAUGUUGAAUUAAAAUUUUUAAUAGGUGUAGCCGUUUAUUAAAUAGGUCUGUUCGACCUUAAAAUUUA
rnacentral:rRNA from 1 species